CGGAACGUACCCAAGAGUGGGGGAUAACGUAGCGAAAGUUACGCUAAUACCGCAUACGAUCUAAGGAUGAAAGCAGGGGAUGCGCUUGCGCACCUUGUGCUCCUGGAGCGGCCGAUAUCUGAUUAGCUAGUUGGUAGGGUAAAGGCCUACCAAGGCAUCGAUCAGUAGCUGGUCUGAGAGGACGACCAGCCACACUGGAACUGAGACACGGUCCAG
rnacentral:rRNA from 1 species